UCGUUGUCUUGUGGCUAAGUACUUAAUCUUUGAUUAUGUCAAAGUCACCCCAUUCGCGGAUAUCCACGGCAUAAUUGGGGUUAAGCCACUUAGUCAUGAAGGCAAGUGAAUGCGCAACAAGGAAUCUCUAAUCCUCUAUUAGAGAGGAAGAAUACUCUAAGAUAUGAUUCGGGAAUCUUCGACCGAAGUAUCGAGCAUAAUAAAGGAAAGCGUUCCUAUACGACUCAAAUGAAUCAUAUAAGAAGGAAUAAUCACAUUAGGGGUUUGACAU
rnacentral:lncRNA from 1 species